rnacentral:rRNA from 1 species
GACGAACGCUGGCGGCGUGCCUAACACAUGCAAGUCGAGCGAAGUGAGUACUACGGUACGAACUUAGCGGCGGACGGGUGAGUAACGCGUGGACAAUCUACCCUGUAGACUGGGAUAACACCUCGAAAGGGGUGCUAAUACCGGAUAAUGUCGAGAAGCGGCAUCGCUUUUCGAAGAAAGGAGAGAAUCCGCUAUAGGAGGAGUCCGCGUCCCAUUAGCUAGUUGGUGAGGGUAACGGCCCACCAAGGCGACGGUGGGUAGCCGGCCUGAGAGGGUGAACGGCCACACUGGAACUGAGACACGGUCCAGACUCUUACGGGAGGCAGCAGUGGGGAAUAUUGUGCAAUGGGGGAAACCCUGACACAGCAACGCCGCGUGAGCGAAGAAGGCCUUCGGGUUGUAAAGCUCAAUAGUAUGGGAAGAUAAUGACGGUACCACACGAAAGCCCGGGCUAACUACGUGCCAGCCGCCGCAGUAA